AACAAACGCUGGCGGCGUGUCUUAAGCAUGCAAGUUGAGCGGCAAGGAGGAGAGAUCCUCCCUAGAGCGGCGGACUGGUGAGUAACGCGUGGGUAAUCUAUCGUAGGCAUGGGGAUAGUCACUAGAAAUAGUGGGUAAUACCGAAUACGUUCCAUGAGGGGAGUAUUCAUGGAAGAAAGGGUGCUACGGCACUGGCCUUAGGUGAGCUCGCGUCCCAUUAGCUAGUUGGUGAGGUAAAGGCCCACCAAGGCGAUGAUGGGUAGCCGGCCUGAGAGGGUGUACGGCCACACUGGGACUGAGAUACGGCCCAGACUCCUACGGGAGGCAGCAGCUAAGAAUAUUCCGCAAUGGACGAAAGUCUGACGGAGCGACGCCGCGUGGAUGAAGAAGGCCGAAAGGUUGUAAAGUUCUUUUGCUAGGGGAGAAGUAAGUGGAGGGAGGGAAUGCCCUCAUGAUGACAAGGACUAGCGAAUAAGCCCCGGCCAACUACGUGCCAGCACG
rnacentral:rRNA from 1 species